rnacentral:lncRNA from 1 species
GUCACACAUGGUUAGCCUAGUGUGGUUUACAUCUCUCGUGUGGUUUGCAAGCUAUUAUACGAGAGUGUAGGUUUACCCAGUGCACCUAUAUGGUUGGCUGCGGGUUCCUUCAUUACCAAAAAAAAAAAAAAAAAAAAAUAAUUAUGAUUUGGUUUAUUCUCUUCAUAUAUUUAGCAAACUCACUAUUUGCCUCUCGGUAAGUUGUUUAUGUCCGCGCACACUUCUUUAGUUCUAAAGUCCAACUAAUGUCUUA